UCAACACAAUUAUCUGGCAUUUAUUCAAUUUAAAAAUACUAAAAAUGAUGCAUUAAAUUAAAUGUGGUUUGUCAAAUUCCUAAAAUCUCAUCAAAACACCAAAUAAAUGGCCAUGAGAUUUAUCAUAGGUCAAACAAGGUCAAAGGACCUUGAAGAAAAAAUUUCAGAAUUUUUGGAAACUCAAAAGUAUUUUUAAACAAUUAAAAAUAAUCACAAAAUCAAUUAAAUCAUGAAAAAUAUUAAUAAUGAUCCAAAAAAU
rnacentral:lncRNA from 1 species